rnacentral:rRNA from 1 species
CCUACGGGAGACAGCAGUGAGGAAUAUUGGUCAAUGGGCGAGAUCCUGAACCAGCCAAGCCGCGUGAGGGAAGACGGCCCUAUGGGUUGUAAACCUCUUUUGUCGGAGAACAAAACCCGGGACGUGUCCCGGACUGCGUGUAUCCGAAGAAAAAGCAUCGGCUAACUCCGUGCAAGCAGCCGCGGUAAUCCGGAGGAUGCGAGCGUUAUCCGGGUUUAUUGGGUUUAAAGGGUGCGUAGGCGGUCCGUUAAGUCAGCGGUAAACUUGCGGGGCUCAACCCCGUUGAGCUGUUGAAACUGGCAGACUUGAGUAGGCGAGAGGUACGCGGAAUUCGCGGUGGAGCGGUGAAAUGCAUAGAUAUCGCGAAGAACACCGAUUGCGAAGGCAGCGUACCGGCGCCAGACUGACGCUGAGGCACGAAAGCGUGGGGAUCGAACAGGAUUAGAUACCCUUGUAGUC